AUACUUACCUGGCAGGGAGACACCAUGAUCAAGAAGGCGUUCACCCAGGGCGAGGCUUGUCCAUUGCACUCCGGCCAUGCUGACCCUGCGAAUUCCCAAAUGCGGGAAUCUCGACUGCAUAAUUUAUGGGUAGUGGGGACUGCGUUCGCGCUCUCCCUGA
rnacentral:snRNA from 1 species